CCACAUCAUCAAACAGACGAAAAUAGUACAGCAAAGCAUCAUCUGCGCGUCCUGUCCAGGUGCAUCCCCCAACCCAGCAGCAACCCUUCUCUUCUUCAAACUCAAUUCUUCUUCGAUUUAGGGUUAGGGUUUUCUUCUUCUUCUUCUUCUUCUUCUUCUUCUUCUUCAAUAUCUCAAUGACCGAUUCUUCCAUAUUCAACAACCGCAAAAUCUCUUAUCCCUUCCACUGUUGUUGUUCAUAAUCUUCAUAAGCACAACCCAAUUUCAUCCCAGCAUUGUUUCUUCAAUUUCUCAUCGUGUUUGUGUUUGAUGGAUCUAUCACACCAUCAAUCCAAUUUAUCUCUCAAUUUCUCAUCUUCUCACGCUUCUCCUCCUCCCCGUCCACCGAUUCCCGACGACUCCAUCGCCCUCCACCUCGAAUCCAGCUUCCGCGAUCCAUCAAACCCUGUCCCCACCGUUCCUCUUCAGCUCAUGGAACCACAAACAGAGAAAGAAAACGGUAACGCUAUCGAUAUCGAAUCGAACAACGAUGAAGAUGAUAGAGAAGUUGAAGAAUUUCGUAUUCUAGGUCAUUCAAUGUGUAUCAAAAGACGACGAGAUUCCGAAUCCUCUACAAUCACCACCAAGAGAGCUUCCGUGGAAUCCGAUCGAGGUGAUCGUCUACUUGAUCUCGAGUCUCGAAAAGCCGCUGUUCGAUCGUGGGGUGAUCAACCCUUACAGGUAGCGGAUCCUGAUAUAUAUGAGAUUAUAGAAAAAGAGAAAAAGCGUCAAUUCAAAGGGAUUGAAUUGAUAGCUUCUGAGAAUUUUGUUUGCAGGGCUGUAAUGGAAGCGCUUGGAAGCCAUUUAACGAAUAAAUACUCUGAAGGAAUGCCUGGUGCACGUUACUAUGGUGGAAAUCAAUAUAUAGAUGAAAUUGAAACACUUUGUUGCGAGCGUGCUUUGGCUGCGUUUAAUCUUGAUCCUAAGUGUUGGGGUGUGAAUGUGCAGCCAUAUUCGUGUACUUCGGCUAAUUUUGCUGUGUAUACUGGAUUGUUGGCGCCCGGGGAUCGAAUUAUGGGGUUGGAUACUCCUUCUGGAGGGAAUACUAGUCAUGGAUAUUAUACUCCGAAUGGGAAGAAAGUUUCUGGGGCUUCAAUAUUCUUUGAGAGUUUAGCUUAUAAGAUUAAUCCUCAAUCGGGUUUUAUUGAUUAUGAUAAGCUUGAAGAAAGGGCACUUGAUUUUCGUCCUAAGAUACUUAUUUGUGGUGGGAGUUCUUAUCCUCGAGAAUGGGAUUAUGCUAGGUUUAGACAUGUUGCAGAUAAAUGUGGAGCUGUGUUAUUGUGUGACAUGGCUCAGAUUAGUGGGAUAAUUGCAGCCAAGGAGUGUGUGAACCCUUUUGAUUAUUGUGAUGUUGUUACAUCGACAACUCACAAGAGUCUUCGAGGUCCAAGGGGUGGUAUAAUUUUUUAUCGGAAGGGAACAAAACCAAGGAAGAGAGGGAUACUUCUUACUCAGGGACAUGAAAGUGAUCAAUAUGACUUUGAAGAAAAGAUAAAUUUUGCUGUUUUCCCAUCAUUGCAAGGUGGACCUCAUAAUAACCAUAUUGCUGCACUUGCUAUUGCAUUAAAACAAGUGGCCACUCCUGAGUAUAAGGCAUACAUGCAGCAGGUGAAGAAGAAUGCUCAAGCUUUAGCAUCUGCUCUGUUGAGAAGAAAAUGCCGCCUGGUAACUGGGGGUACUGACAACCAUUUAAUACUUUGGGAUUUAAGGCCCCUGGGGUUGACAGGUAAAUUUUACGAGAAGGUCUGUGAGGCAUGUCAUAUUACAUUGAAUAAAAUUGCUAUAUUUGGUGACAACGGAAUUAUAAUUCCUGGAGGAGUAAGGAUAGGUACCCCCGCCAUGACUUCAAGAGGGUGUUUGGAGGCCGAUUUUGAGACAAUGGCUGAUUUUCUCUUUAGAGCUGCACAAAUUGCAAACAUGCUGCAGAGGGAGCAUGGGAAAUUGCAGAAGACUAUUUCUAAGGUACUUGAGAGCAAUAGGGACAUUCUUGAGCUUCGGGCUCGGGUUGAAGCUUUUGCUACUCAGUUUGCCUUGCCGGGUUUCGACAUUUGAACAUAAUGCAACUGGUGUGUUGCGUUAUUGAUUAUAUAUGCUACACCAGUGGGCUGCAGUGCGUACUUGUCACAAAAGCCAGUCAUCUUGAUGUGCAUAGAUUUUGUGGAGCUUCUCUCAUCUUAUUGUUAUACACAGUUGUCAGGUUUUUGCAUGUUGCGAUGUACAAUGUGGUACAAAAUAGUACAUAAGCGAGUAAUGCCAUUGAGGUUUCUUUUGGUAAUCAAGCAUUCUGUUCCUGCCUUGAUGGAGGGUGCACCAUUAAUGCAGCAAGUUGGCCAUUACAGGGGUUGGAACAGAGAUUCUUGAUCAACCAACUUGAGUACAGAAUUCUUCUGAGGAAUCUGCAGAAAAUAAUUAGUCUGAUUAAGCAGGCUUAAGGAUAAUAUUGACCCAAUGUCUCUUACAACGGUAUGGCAACAAUGAAAUGGGCAGAAUUCUAAAAUGAAUGUUGUUUUUGCCCCCAGGUUGCUCAACCUCAGAAAAAUGGUCAUCAGGAACCUAGGUUCCGAGAGAUUUUAGUAGCAAACAAAAAUGCCGAUUGGAACUUACGUUCUGAUGUUUCUUCCAUCAGAAACUAACUUAUGAUAACGGGGGGCUAUUCCAGCAAAAUUGGGAGGGCUUAACAGCAAUUAUCGAAUUCUCAUUGUACUAGUUUUUUGCUACUUGGGAGUCAAUGUCAAAGAUUUGUUUUUUGAUUGAAAGAAUUAGGGCUAAGGUGAGGCCAUAGUAGAGGCCACAUACAACAGAUUCCUAAACUGCCACUAAAACCUCAAACGAAAUAGCUUGCAUUUUAUCCUCUAUGAUACCUUGUGAAUUUUAUUUUUUUUGCGAA